rnacentral:rRNA from 1 species
AUGCCAUGUUUAUGCUUGGUCGUUUACUAUGUUGUUUGCUUCUUUUCGGUGUUGCUUCUUCGGGUUAGUUCCGAUAACGUCGCGUUUGUGAGGAUCCGUUCGUCUAUGUCCUUUUGUCUUCUUCACAGACUUGUUCUUCUUCCUUGCGGGAUCUCAGGCAAGAUGACCAUACCCUCGAAAUCACUUCUAUCUUUGCUUGCUAGUUGCUCGCUCUAUUGCUAUGCCGCAAUACCUACCACUUGCUUUAUCAUGCCUCCCAUAUUGCCAUGUCAAGCCUCUAACCCACCUUUCCUAGCAAACCGUUGUUUGGCUAUGUUACCGCUUUGCUCAGCCCCUCUUAUAGCGUUGCUAGUUGCAGGUGAAGAUGGAGUUUGUUCCAUGUUUGGAACAUGGAUAUGUUGGUGA